rnacentral:lncRNA from 1 species
GUAGAGUAAGGCAGAGAAAAAUAUGGUACGUAAGUUGUGCAAGGUAACAAGGUGCAAGGUUGUACAGAUGCGAAAAGUGCGUCAGAUUGAAUGGAAAUGAAUAAUAUUAAUAUAUCUCUUAAUAGUUUGUGACAUGUUUACUCAUUCGUAUCGCCAAAAAAGAUGUAUCUUAUUAAGAGACCAAUACAGAGAAAAGAAAGAUUGAAACUGAAUCCAAAAAUAAGUGUUGCUGCUAAAGCUACUCGAUUUCCUUUUCAUCAAAAACUACACUAGUUGCAUCAAAUCUCAACUAAAUGUAAUUGAUGAAGAUUAUGACCUAUGUAACCUAUGUAGCCCAGGCAGCACACAUUGGUUUCAAAACCGUUUCAUAAACGUUUUGCCGUAACGUUUCAUAACCAUUUUAUUGAAACGUUUAUUUAGGAGAAAAAUGUCCACC